rnacentral:rRNA from 1 species
GAACUUUAUCGAGUAGCAAUAUUUGAUAAAGAGAGUGGCGCAAGGGUGAGUAAUACGUAGGUAAUCUGCCUCCUAGAUGGGCACAACCUGGCGAAAGCCGGGCUAAUUCCCAAUGUGGUAAUUUAUCGCAUGAUGGAUGAUCUGAAGGCGGGGAUCGCAAGACCUGUCACUAGGAGAUGAGCCUGCGCCCUAUCAGCUUGUUGGUGAGGUAACGGCUCACCAAGGCUUACGGGUAGCUGGUCUGAGAGGAUGGUCAGCCACACUGGGACUGAGACACUGCCCAGACUCCUACGGGAGGCUGCAGUCGAGAAUCUUUCGCAAUGGGCGCAAGCCUGACGAAGCGACGCCGCGUGCAGGAUGAAGGUCUUCGGAUUGUAAACUGCUGUCUUUUGGGAGCAAGGAACACGGGUGAAUAAUCCGUGAACUUGAUAGUACCAGAGGAGGAAGCCACGGCUAACUCUGUGCCAGCAGCCGCGGUAAUACAGAGGUGGCGAGCGUUGUUCGGAUUUACUGGGCGUAAAGGGUGCGUAGGCGGUUCUGCAUGUCGGGUGUGAAAUCCCACGGAUCAUCCGUGGAACGGCAUUCGAAACUGCAGGGCUGGAGUGCGGGAGAGGAAGGUGGAAUUCUCGGUGUAGCGGUGAAAUGCGUUGAUAUCGAGAGGAACGCCGGUGGUGAAGACGACCUUCUGGAACGCAACUGACGCUGAGGCACGAAAGCUAGGGGAGCAAACAGGAUUAGAUACCCUGGUAGUCCUAGCCGUAAACGGUGUGCACUUGA